GACUAUUUUGGACAUAAGAGACUGUUUGUGCGGAACAGCAAGGUGUCUGGCAAAUGGGGCAGGGAGGAGCGCCAGCUGACCUCUUUCCCGUUUGUGCCCGACCAGUUUUUUGAGAUCCGUAUCCGGUGUGAUGCCAAUUCCUUCCACGUGACCCUCAACGGCGGCGUCUACCUGGACUACAAGUACCGAUUUGGCUUAGCCAAGAUCAAGCGUGUGAGUCUGUUUAGGGACGCGACGCAGACAGACGUCACCCUGAUGUGAUGACAUCAGCACAAUGUCUGAAACAGCAUUUCCUGUCUGGAUAUCAUUUUGCAUUCAUAGCAUUCUAAGCAUACAUAUGAAUAUGAAACAUUGUUACAUUAUUCCAACGUGUCUUUUUCAAAAAAAAUCAUUUAACAAUGCAGCUAGAGAGUUUGUUGAUUGAUGUUGAUCCCCCCCCCACUUAUAUCUUCAUUCUAAUUUCAAAACUUGUUUAUCCAUUUUAGUCCAAUAAAACAUUUACAAGAG